UGUAGAGCAGUAUUAGAUGUACAGUGGCGUUUGGAUCCACGAGUGUAGGGGAGACCUUAUCUCUGCAG
rnacentral:tRNA from 1 species